rnacentral:rRNA from 1 species
UUCGGAUUGCAGCCUGCAACUCGGCUGCAUGAAGCUGGAAUCGCUAGUAAUCGCGGAUCAGAAUGCCGCGGUGAAUACGUUCCCGGGUCUUGUACACACCGCCCGUCACACCAUGGGAGCCGGAAACGCCCGAAGCCAGCGGCCCAACCGCAAGGGGGGAGCUGUCGAAGGCGGGUCCGGUGACCGGGGUGAAGUCGUAACAAGGUAUC